UGAGUCGUUCUUAAAGUAUGCCAAUUCAUACUUUAUUUACGGCUGACC
rnacentral:precursor_RNA from 1 species